GGCCUAUUAACUCAGUUGGUUAGAGCGUCGUGCUAAUAACGCGAAGGCCAUAGGUUUGAAACCCGUAUGGGCCA
rnacentral:tRNA from 1 species